CCACCUGUAGCACUUUACAUCUGCACAACAUUAAUAGCACUUUCGUCUCUGCAAUUCUCUUACCUCUGCUGCAAUUUUCCUUCGCUACUCCAUCCCUGCUUUGGAAAUUUAUGUAUGUGAACUUCUCAUGGGAGACUUAGUGGGUCAACUUAAUGACUACUGCUGUGGUACUUUAUUCAUGGUGUUACCGGAGGAAAGAACCAAAGCCUGUUUCAGAGCUAACAUCUGCUUAUGGCAGGAAAGGUUAAGUUUAAUUUAACUAUGACAGGACAGGUAAAGUUUAAUGCAGAUAGAUCAUGCAGGCAGAUCUGUUGCUAUUGGUGGCCUAAUUACAUUGUGUGGAAAUAUAUGGGAAAUAGAACUAAAGGGGAAAAAAAGGUUGACAAUUCAUAAUUCCUUGGAUAUAUAACAAUUCCUCUGGUUGGCUACAUGAUUUUGUUAGAAUUUAGUAAGUGCAGUUCAUAUUAGCAAUUAGUAAUCCUUAACUGCUAUCCUUUUGGUUCUGUUUUUAUAGUACAGUACUUGGUAUUUUUAAUGAGCUCCAUUAUAGCCGCGAUAUACGUAUUUCUAAGAAGAGAGCUUGUUAUCUUCAAAUCUAUAUUACUUUCUUAGGGAGAUAAAUAAAUGAAAAUUUUCAUAUAGCUGGUUACAUUUUGAUCAUUCCGCGAUAGCACAAUCAUUUCUUUUUUUAUUUUUUCCUUUUCAGUGAAAAUGCCUUUGUUACUAGAAGUAUAGUGGUUGAACAGGAAAAUACAUAAAUAAGGAUAUAGAGAUCAUUCUCUCUGUCAAGUUUGAGUUGUGUGAGUGUUCAUUUAUUUCAAUAUUUUUGUUGGAUAUGAAAAUAAAAAAAAUUAUCUUAUUUCUGCUAUGCAUUGGAUACUGACAAGAGAAAACCAAGGAGAUUAGAUCAUAUAUAGCUGGACAACCCUCUCACUAUAACAAUAGUAUUGGCAUAUAGUAGAUCUUUUUUGACAAGGAAAGAAAUAUUUUAAUGCGUAAGAUAGAGACCUUGAAACUUUAGUUUCUUUUUUGGGUAUCCUUCAUUUUUGAUUGCCUCAUUGUCUUAAGUAAUUAAAGGGAGGAAUUUUAUCGUUGCUUUAUCUAUAUAGUAUUUUUAUAUUUUACACAAUACAUUAAUUCAAGAAAAUCAGAGAUCUGAUAUUCAUUUAGUGAUUUUAGCAGGAAACUAAGGAAGACAUGAUCCAUAGAAUGUUACUAUUGCCUCUCUAGAACAAUAUAAAUAUAUUAAACUUGAAUGAUUUAUUUUCAACUAGACUAUAACAAUAUUGAGCAUAAAAUAAUAUUUUGAAUCAAAGCCUAAGUACUUACAAACUUAAGUUAAAUUUAAUGGUUAUGGGAUUUUAAGCAUUUUCCUUCUUUUAUAUACUUGGGUGAGUGGAGUGACAUCUUGCUUAUAGAGUUUGAAGUAAAUGUUUGCUCCUUUAUUCUCCUGUGUCAUCAUUUUCCUUCACUCCAGUACUAAUAUGAAGAGACGAAGCGACCAACAGCAAUGCAAAAAUAGAAACAACAUGAAAAGUCAAAGAUGUAUCACUUCUCACAAUUGCUAGAUAAAAAGUUAUUGGCUACUGAUAUUUGUUAAUAUAUGUAUUAAAUUUUAUUUUUCGCAUAGGAAUCUAGAUUGUUGUUGAUUAUUCGAAAUAGAAAUUGGUAGCUUUGCCUUCAAGUUAUCUGAGUCUCGAACUCUUCCUACUUGCCCAAAGCUAAAUGACACUUCGAAGUACCAAAGGAGAAAAGAGAGUUGUAGAGAGUAGGGAAGGAGAGAGAGAAUUAGAGGAGUACAUGGAAAGUGAGAAUUAAGAAGCAUAAUGAUGUUAUACUGCAGUAUGUAUCUAACUGAUACAUAAAGGGAGAGAGCAACUACUAAAGCUUUUCUCAAAAAUCACGACACCAAUCCAUUAAAAGUCUAUAAACUUUUUCAAAAUAAGCAUCUUCUGUACGUGGACUACUUGAAAAUCUUAUAGUUGUCCCAAUAUAUUAAAGCAAAUUAAACUCUACUCUUAGAAAUUCUGGAGACAUUGUUGGUUUAUUUUCAUAGAAGUUAUCUAUAAUGAGGCACAUCCAUAAAAAGCACACUUGAAAAAUUAAAACUAACAGUAGUAUAGUACUUUCUGACAAUAAUGCUUAGAAAAUAUAGACAACAAACAAGCCAAAUAUAUAAAAGGCUUGACUGUGAUGAAUUGAUUUGGCAGUAACAACUUUACUUUAACCCAUAAAUUAAUCUCUAUUUGGGUAAUACAUGUCAACAUCAUGAGAGAAUACAACAAAAUGUGGAGAUUGAGUACCUUGGCAUUUGGAACUAAUGCCAGCUUCAGCUAAAUAAAUGAAGAAUGCGGCUUGGUGUUCUGCAAUUGAUUUUGUUGGAGAAGCAAAACGAUUAUCAGGAUGUGAAAGCUCAAAUCUUUAGGCUCCCUUUGUGUGUGCCCUCCGUUGGUAAAUUUUGAAUGUGUUGGCGAACUGAGUAGACCAAAUAAAGCUUCACUUCUGUAGUGGUUAAUUCUCUCACCUCAACGUUGUGUGAAGUUGCAAUGUUCCUGCUUUGUUUAACGAGACCACAGCUGGCUGACAUAUUCUUGUGUUGCUCAAAUUUUUGUGUCUCACUGGUCACAUUUUGAUUCCUUUUUCUGUCUUCUUUAUUUCUUAGGAGUUCCACUGCAAGUUUUGCUGAUUUUGUAAAGAUUGUUUCCAUGUAUUGAGAUGUUUUGCAAUUGA